ACUAGGAGGUUGGCUCAGAAGCAGCCACCCUUUAAAGAGUGCGUAAUAGCUCACUAGUCAAGUGCUCUUGCGCGGAUAAUGUACCGGGGCUAAGCAUAUUACCGAAACUGUGGAUGCGUAAGCAUGGUAGGAUAGCGUAAUUAACGCGAUGAAGGAUGACCGUAAGGACAUGUUGGAGCGUUAACUAGUGAGAAUUCCGGUAUGAGUAGCGAAAGAUAGGUGAGAAUCCUAUCCACCGAAUGAGUAAGGUUUCCCCCGGAAGGCUCGUCCGCGGGGGGUUAGUCGGGACCUAAGGCGAGGCUGAAAAGCGUAGUCGAUGGACAACAGGUUGAUAUUCCUGUACCGAUAUUUAAUUGCCGAAGGAAGGACGCAGAAGGAUAACACAGGCCACUAUUGGAUGUGGUUUUAAACAGUUAGUCUUCAUAAGAGUCAAAUGCUUUUAUGUUUAAGGAUAAGCUGUGAAUGUACCAAGUUUACUUGGAAAUUGUGUGAUUUCACGCUGCUGAAAAAAGUUUCGUAGGAAGAAAAUAUUGCCCGUACCGCAAACCGACACAGGUACUCAAGUGGAGAACACUAAGGUGAGCGAGUGAACUAUUGUUAAGGAACUCUGCAAAAUGAGUCCGUAACUUCGGAAGAAGGACUGCUGGUUUUAUACCAGCCGCAGCAAAUAGGCCCAAACAACUGUUUAUCAAAAACACAGGUUUCUGCAAAAUCGUAAGAUGAAGUAUAGGGGCUGACGCCUGCCCAGUGCUGGAAGGUUAAAAGGAGGACUUAGCUUCGGCGAAGGUCUUAAUUGAAGCCCCAGUGAACGGCGGCCGUAACUAUAACGGUCCUAAGGUAGCGAAAUUCCUUGUCGGGUAAGUUCCGACCCGCAUGAAAGGCGUAAUGAUUUGGGCGCUGUCUCAACAAUAGACUCGGUGAAAUUUAAAUUCCAGUGAAGAUGCUGGGUACCCGCGACAGGACGGAAAGACCCCGUGGAGCUUUACUGUAGCUUGAUAUUGAAUGUUUGUGCUGCAUGUGCAGGAUAGGUAGGAGACUUUGAAGUCGGAACGCUAGUUUCGAUUGAGUCACCCUUGAGAUACUACCUCUGUUGUAUGAACGUUCUAACUCUGAUCAGUUAUCCUGAUCGAAGACAGUGUCUGGCAGGCAGUUUGACUGGGGCGGUCGCCUCCUAAA
rnacentral:rRNA from 1 species